rnacentral:rRNA from 1 species
UACAGAGGUCUCAAACGUUGUUCGGAUUCAUUGGGCGUAAAGGGCGCGUAGGCGGCCUUGUCAGUCAGGCGUGAAAGCCCCGGGCUCAACCUGGGAACGGCGCUUGGGACGGCGAGGCUGGAGUUCGGGAGAGGAGAGUGGAAUUCCCAGUGUAGAGGUGAAAUUCGUAGAUAUUGGGAAGAACACCGGUGGCGAAGGCGGCUCUCUGGACCGACACUGACGCUGAGGAGCGAAAGCGUGGGGAGCGAACAGG